rnacentral:rRNA from 1 species
GACGAACGCUGGCGGCGUGCUUAACACAUGCAAGUCGAGCGGUAAGGCCCUUUCGGGGGUACACGAGCGGCGAACGGGUGAGUAACACGUGGGUGACCUGCCCUUAGCUCUGGGAUAAGCCUGGGAAACUGGGUCUAAUACCGGAUAUGACUCCAUAACGCAUGUUGUGGGGUGGAAAGCCUUGUGCGGCUAGGGAUGGGCCCGCGGCCUAUCAGCUUGUUGGUGGGGUGAUGGCCUACCAAGGCGACGACGGGUAGCCGGCCUGAGAGGGCGACCGGCCACACUGGGACUGAGACACGGCCCAGACCCCUACGGGA